AUUUCGUGAGUUUUUUCACUUAGCCAAAUAUCUCAAAAUUUUAUUUCCCCGCGCCCAACGUACUCCAACUCUCCAAGCAUCUGGCCUUUGAACUCAGCCGUCGAACUCAGCCGUCGAACUUAGCCCUGCGUCGCCGUCGAACUCGCCGUCGAACUCAGCCGUUGUCGGCUCUGCGUCGCUGUCUUCGCCGGUGGGUCUUUGUUCUCGCCUCAUCUCCCCAUCGCGUUCUGUUCUCGCUGUCUCAGUCGCUUUCAGAUUAGGGUUCAGCGUCCCCCCGUCGCGUCCUGGUUCCAGUGGUUGCUCGGCCGUUACUCUCCUUGCUACAACAAAUAUAUCUUUAGAUACUGAAGUUGAAAAUUUUGAUUCUGGAAAUUUAAGGGUUUUCCAUGGAACUCUCCAGGAUCAUAUAAUCAGAUUUGAUGUCUAGCAGUCAACAAGGGAUGGUUGAAAGAGAUUUUGGUGGCAGAAUUGUUGGCAUUUAUGGCACAAAACCGGAGCUUUUCUUAUUGCAAAAUAGUAUAAGUAGUAGCUGAAACAACUGCACCAUUAACUCCUAUGGCUGAGCUCCUUGUGAAGAUCCCAUAUAAAAGGAAAGACUCGCAGAAAUCAGAGGUAAACCAAGGUCUAUACUCCGAGGAAUGCGCCUUAUGUUAGUGAGGAAAUUGAUGUGGUUCGUGAGCAAUGGGCUAAGUUUUUUACGAGCAAGUAUUUAUUAUUAAUGGCAUGAGCGAUCGAGUUGGUUUAGAUGUUAUAGAAUAAUAUUUUAUAUUAAAAUGUAUGCGUACGUUGAAAUUGAAACAUAUAAUUAAAUGUAGUACGUGCACUUUGGAUAUGUAUACAAAACACCAAUUAUUGUUUUUAUAUUUGUUCUACAGAUUGCGAUA